rnacentral:rRNA from 1 species
UACAGAGACUGCGAGCGUUAUUCGGAUUCACUGGGCGUAAAGGGUGCGCAGGCGGCCAAGUGUGUGAGGCGUGAAAGCCUGGGGCUUAACUCCAGAAUUGCACCUCAAACUACAUGGCUAGAGCAUUGGAGAGGGUAGCAGAAUUCACGGUGUAGCAGUGAAAUGCGUAGAUAUCGUGAGGAAUACCAGAGGCGAAGGCGGCUACCUGGACAAUUGCUGACGCUCAGGCACGAAAGCGUGGGGAGCAAAAGGG